rnacentral:lncRNA from 1 species
UGAUGGCGUGUUGAGUGUGUACCAGAGUGAGCAUGAUCAGAAUCUUCAGAGUUAGAGUCUUCAGAUAUCUCUUGCAACAUUAAGAUAUCUCUUGCAAUCUUUAGAUAUCUCUUGCAGUCUUCAGGUAUCUCUUGCAGAGUCUUCAGAUAUCUCUUGCAGAAUGAUCAGAAUCUUCAGAGUUAGAGUCUUCAGAUAUCUCUUGCAACAUUAAGAUAUCUCUUGCAAUCUUUAGAUAUCUCUUGCAGUCUUCAGGUAUCUCUUGCAGAGUCUUCAGAUAUCUCUUGCAGA